GAUGAACGCUGGCGGCGUGCCUAAUACAUGCAAGUCGAGCGAACAGACGAGGGGCUUGUUCCUCUGACGUUAGCGGCGGACGGGUGAGUAACACGUGGAUAACCUACCUAUAAGACUGGGAUAACUUUGGGAAACCGGAGCUAAUACCGUAUAAUAUAUUGAACCGCAUGGUUCAAUAGUGAAAGACGGUUUUGCUGUCACUUAUAGAUGGAUCCGCGCCGCAUUAGCUAGUUGGUAAGGUAACGGCUUACCAAGGCAACGAUGCGUAGCCGACCUGAGAGGGUGAUCGGCCACACUGGAACUGAGACACGGUCCAGACUCCUACGGGAGGCAGCAGUAGGGAAUCUUCCGCAAUGGGCGAAAGCCUGACGGAGCAACGCCGCGUGAGUGAUGAAGGUCUUCGGAUCGUAAAACUCUGUUAUUAGGGAAGAACAAAUGUGUAAGUAACUAUGCACGUCUUGACGGUACCGAAUCAGAAAGCCACGGCUAACUACGU
rnacentral:rRNA from 1 species